UACAGAGGGUGCAAGCGUUAAUCGGAAUUACUGGGCGUAAAGAGUGCGUAGGUGGUUGAAUAAGUUAGGUGUGAAAGCCCCGGGCUUAACCUGGGAAUUGCGCCUAAUACUGUCUGACUAGAGUACUGUAGAGGAAGGUGGAAUUCCCUGUGUAGCGGUGAAAUGCGUAGAGAUGGGGGAGAACACUCGUGGCGAAGGCGGCCAGCUAGACCAGUUCUGACACUGAGGCGCGACAGCGCGGGGAGCAAACAGG
rnacentral:rRNA from 1 species